rnacentral:rRNA from 1 species
CCUACGGGAGGCUGCAGUGAGGAAUAUUGGUCAAUGGACGAGAGUCUGAACCAGCCAAGUAGCGUGAAGGAUGACUGCCCUAUGGGUUGUAAACUUCUUUUAUAUGGGAAUAAAAUGUUCCACGUGUGGGAUUUUGUAUGUACCAUAUGAAUAAGGAUCGGCUAACUCCGUGCCAGCAGCCGCGGUAAUACGGAGGAUCCGAGCGUUAUCCGGAUUUAUUGGGUUUAAAGGGAGCGUAGGUGGAUUGUUAAGUCAGUUGUGAAAGUUUGCGGCUCAACCGUAAAAUUGCAGUUGAAACUGGCAGUCUUGAGUACAGUAGAGGUGGGCGGAAUUCGUGGUGUAGCGGUGAAAUGCUUAGAUAUCACGAAGAACUCCGAUUGCGAAGGCAGUUCACUGGACUGUAACUGACACUGAGGCUCGAAAGUGUGGGUAUCAAACAGGAUUAGAUACCCGUGUAGUC